AUACGUAGGGGGCGAGCGUUGUCCGGAAUGAUUGGGCGUAAAGGGCGCGUAGGCGGCCCGGUAAGUCUGGAGUGAAGGUCCUGUUUUUAAGAUGGGAAUUGCUUUGGAUACUGUCGGGCUUGAGUGCAGGAGAGGUAAGUGGAAUUUCCAGUGUAGCGGUGAAAUGCGUAGAGAUUGGGAGGAACACCAGUGGCGAAGGCGACUUACUGGACUGUAACUGACGCUGAGGCGCGAAAGUGUGGGGAGCAAACAGGAUUAGAUACCCUGGUAGUCCACACUGUAAACGAUGAAUGCUAGGUGUAGGGGGUAUCGACCCCUUCUGUGCCGCAGUCAACACAAUAAGCAUUCCGCCUGGGGAGUACGGCCGCAAGGUUGAAACUCAAAUGAAUUGACGGGG
rnacentral:rRNA from 1 species